AUCUGAUGUCCAUACUCAUACUGGGAGUUCUUUAGCAUUGGAACUUGCUGAAUGUGGUGAUAAUGCAGCAUGCGACUUAUCUGCUGAUACUGAUAGUUCAUUAAUGUGCCUUUCUAGGACUGCUGAUCUUGAUCCGGAUGUUGUUUUAUGUGUGACGCC